GUAUUUAGUAUUUUAAAAUAAUAAACAAAAUAGAUUUUUAUCUGUCAGUCACAGAAAUGAAAACAAAAUUUAAAAAUAUAUAAAGCCUGGGAAGUGGAUUUAUCUCAUAUACUAUUGGAACUGGUACUGCCUUUCAAAGAACAGACCUAUUACAUUAUUAAAAGUUGCCCUCUGUUUACCCUAGUAGUUCCGCUUCUGAGAAUCCAUUCUGGAACACUAGAUAAUGGCAAUAGUAGACUACUAGAAUUCUAUUGUAUUAGUAUGUAAGUGAAAAAAAUUCACUCCAAGUAUGUUCUAGCAGAAAAAAAGAAGACUUAAGGCCAUACGGAGUGACACAAACAUUUUCAAUGGAGUGACAUAAAUAAUUUCAUGGACAAGUUAAUAUCGUCUCUGGAUAAACCAAUGAGGCACUCUGAAAUGAGAAGUUUUAGCAGGCUACCUUUCAGUUUGCUGCAAUUAAUUGAAGAGCCCAAGGAUUUACAUCUUUCUGGAUAAAUUCAGAGACAUCUAGAGCUAUCGGACAGACAGGCCCAGUGAAGAUGAAUGCAGAGGCUACAAGCAAGAGCAAGAAGGGAGACUAUUUUCAAAUGUGGUCAUUAAGUAUCCUAGCCAUUCGAGAGGCAAACUGAUU
rnacentral:lncRNA from 1 species